rnacentral:lncRNA from 1 species
CCCCCUCGCGCUUCCCGCCCGGCCCCUCCAACCUCCUCCACCGGCCAGAAUCCCGGUUUCUCGGUCCGGGGAGUGGGAGGAUGGAGGAAGCGAGGGAGGAAGGAGAGAAGGAAAAGGUGAACAGGCGAGCAGGGCGCUGUGCCAGGGAGCAGCAUCCAGGACCGUAAUUGUGGGCAAGGGCGGGGGACGUUCUGGGCGAGUGUGCCCGAGACCAGGCGCGUACACGUGUGUGUGUGUGUGUGUGUGUGUGUGUGUGUGUGUGUGCGCGCGUGUAUGUGUAAGAGAGAGGAGCGGAGCCUACCAUGCGCUUCCCUGGUGCGGAUCGCGGGAGAGCCCAAUCACAGGGCGAGCUGGACCUGGCUGUGAUCAUUUAUAAUCCUUGACUCCUCCGCUCAGCCACUUGUCAAGAUGACAGGAGUUAAGGAAGGCAAUAAGAAUAGAGGAGGCAUGAACACACAAGAACUUGGGAAGAGAGGAAUGUGAGCUGUGAAAAACCAAGCAGAAGUGUUUCCAUCUCAAUGGCACUAUGAGCUGGAGAAGUCAUAGGAAACCAAAGCACUCAAGAGGAGACACAGCUAUCAAGAACUCCUGUCCACCGGGCAUUGGUGGAAGGAGAUGAAGCCAUUUUUACCAACCUGAACCUUUUUUCCGUGGGGCACUAUACAGCUUAACCUAUGAACUCUGUCGAGCCGUUGAGGGCUCCUAAACAAUUUCUUAGCACGGAGUUCCUCUUUUCAGCAAACCCUGCUUCUCACUGAGUACAGAGUCGAAGCAAUCCUACAGCACUAACAUUUCAAUUGUUGCAUAUGGAGCCCAGUACAUAAAGGACUCCCCAAAGAGAGCGGUUUAUAACUGGAUUAUAGCUGCUCCACACAUUUAACUUUCCAUGAAUAGUUUCUGACGUUUUGAAGCACCCCAAGUCAUAACUUUUCUAUCCACGCAUGUAGGAAAGCAGUCACUGAUUGUGCGUUUCUUCAUUGACCAGAAUACAAACAUGGAUGAGACUGUUAGCACCCAUGGUAUCUGAGGGAGAACUUACAGAAUUUGUUUACCUAUGUUAUAUAUAAGACAAUAGAUUGUAUAUACAAAUAUAGAAAACAUUUCACUUGUUUGUAUGUGCACUAUAUGUAUUUUGAGUGCAGAUCAAGUAUGUAAUGGUCCCACUUAUUAUUAGUUUCAUUUUUUUACAAUUUCAUAACUGUGGCCUAAAAAUAGUAGGUGGAAAAUUUUAGAAGCAAUCCACACAUAUGUGUUAAAUUACACGACAUUUUGAGUACCGGGAUAAAUUCUCAUUCUGUAUUGCUUCUUCUUGCCCAAAAUAUAACUCAUUUCUCUGGUCAGUGCAUCUGCUCUGUAUAUCUUGCCUGCUACCUCCAUGAUCAGAACCAUUUAGGAACAGUGUAGGGUCUGUAUUCAAAUCAACCUGUUAUGCUUAGCAGUGUCUCAGUCAUGAUACUGAAAACUGAAUAUGUUAGAGAAAAAUUGGCUAGUGUCUUCUUCAAGUGAAAUGUAAAGGUCUCCACUUGAGGGGGGUUUUAUAGAGCUAUCAUGUUGUUAAAUCAUAUACUAGGCAUGUUUUAUAAAUUAACCUAUGUUAUAGAUAUGUAUGUACAAGAGAAAAGCAUGGUGCAUAUAGGGGCUGGUAUUAUUUGUGAUUUCUGAUAUUCACUGUAUUCUUGGAACACAGAAUUGUAUACCAUUGGCUUUCCCCAACCCUAAUGUUGUAUGUUUAAUGGAGACUUUGUUCUGUGACUAUUAAUCAAGUUCUGAACUCUACCAAGGAAGCACACACUUAUAUACACUUUCCUUACUAAGAAAAUGUUUCUCAUUUGUUCAAUCCAUUUACAGAUGGAGCUUCAUGGUAUGGGUAUCUGUGGUGUGGCCAAAGAAAAAUAAGGCAAGAAGAGGGAGAAAGAGGUUCUGGUUUAUUAUGGGUGCUAUAAGUAGAUGCCCAAAAUUCCCAAUGGAAAAAAUGCCCCCAGGCACACCACUCAUGGCGACUUCCAAAGUUUGUUCUCAGUAACUGCAUUCACACAAUACAUAAUUUUAACAGAUCCAUUUAUGGCUUUGAAAUGUGAAGUGUCCAAUGAAGAGAAGAAAUACUUAAAAGAGGAAAACUGGAAAAUAUUAAGAGCUGGACGGAGUUACUGAAAAACAGCCAGGUAGUGUGACUUUAGUUAAUAUAAAGGGCAAAUGUCUGGCCAUCUUUCAGUAUUUGCAAGAGCUCUACUCAUUAAGAUGUAUAAGGAUGGUUUUGAAUCAUUAGGAAAAGGUGAAGUUAUGUGUCUAUCUUAGCAUAUUCUGGGAAAAAAAUUAAAACAGUUCCAUUUA